UACUAGAGUAGCACUCGCAUAUCAAUAAGCGGAGGAAAAGAAACUAACAAGGAUUCCCCUAGUAACGGCGAGUGAAGCGGGAAGAGCUCAAAUUUGAAAUCUUAAAGGGUUUCCCUUUACGAAUUGUAGUUUAAAGAAGUGUUUUCUGUUGAGGUUUUGGUAAAAGUUCUUUGGAAUAGGACAUCAUAGAGGGUGAGAAUCCCGUAUUUGACCUUUACUUUCAACUUCGUGAUACACUUUCAAAGAGUCGGAUUGUUUGGGAAUGCAGUCCAAAAUGGGUGGUAAAUUUCAUCUAAAGCUAAAUAUUGGCGAGAGACCGAUAGCGAACAAGUACCGUGAGGGAAAGAUGAAAAGAACUUUGAAAAGAGAGUUAAACAGUACGUGAAAUUGUCAAAAGGGAAGCGUUUGACACCAGUGUUGUUUUUCUGAAAUCAAUUAAAGAACUGUUUAUGCUAAGUUGUUUAGACUUUAUCAGCUAUCUGUUUAGUUUUGAGCUUUUCUUUAAUGCACUUUUCAGUUAACAAGUCAACAUCAAUUUCUUUUGCUGUAAAAAAGCUUGAGGAAGGUGGCUUGAGAUUCGUCUUAAGUGUUUAUAGCCUCUUGCCUAUGCAGUCGGAGAGAUUGAGGUCUGCAGCGUAGAUCCUUCGGGGCUAAAUGCAUUUGUGCUAAGUUAUAGCAUUUUAUAGACAACUUGUUGACUAUGAUUUGUCUUGUAGCUUACUCGCUUAUGCUAUUUUACCUACGCUUAGGAUGUUGAGUAGCGACAUACGCAC
rnacentral:rRNA from 1 species